UCCAGGCAAGAGUACUGGAGUGGGGUGCCAUUGCCUUCUCCGAUCCUGAGUAUACUUAAGACUUUAAAAGAUCCUGUUCUAUAAAGAGGGUAAAUGCCCAUCUUUAAUUUUUAUAGGUUCCUUUAGAAAGUUUGAUUUCAAUAUCAUAAUUUGUUAUUGAGCCAGAUAUGUUAAAGAAUCCUGUAGUCCUUGUUAAAGGAAACCAUGUCACCCCACCUCAUCUUGAUGUACAACAGACCUGGGACAGACUAGUGUGGCCAUGUUUUAUAUCUCAUGACUUCUAUCCCUUUUCUUAAAUUAUUAGAACAAGAAGGACUCCUUUUCUCAUGAAGAAUAGCUGAUCCUAAGGUCGGUCAGCAUCCCAUGGUCCAACUAGUCUGGUUCAAAAAGGACACGUGUUCCACAGGACACAAGAUGAGAAAACAUUGGUCUAAGGGACCUGCAGCUGAUUCGUGAGCCGCUCCUGGCUCCAGCGAGGCACUGCUGGGGAAGAGACCUGUGAGGUGCUGCGAGAUGGGAG